rnacentral:rRNA from 1 species
CUUUGUUUGCGCAGGAUAGGUGGGAGGCGUUGAAGAUUUUCUUGCGGGGAGAUUGGAGCCGUUGGUGAGAUACCACUCUAACAAUGCUAGGAUUCUAACCCUAUACCGUUAUCCGGUUAGGGGACAGUUUCAGGUGGUCAGUUUGACUGGGGCGGUCGCCUCCCAAAAGGUAACGGAGGCGUGCAAAGGUUUCCUCAGGCUGGUCGGAAAUCAGUCGUAGAGUGUAAAGGCAUAAGGAAGCUUGAUUGUGAGACCUACAAGUCGAACAAAGACGAAAGUCGGCCUUAGUGAUCCGACGGUUCCGAGUGGAAGGGCCGUCGCUCAACGGAUAAAAGUUACUCUAGGGAUAACAGGCUGA